AUUUGUGUAUACCCUUGUGCUACCAAUCGUGCCUUAUUUCAGACAAUGUUUGCAUGCUCAUCAAAUUACCUUUGAAGAUCAAUUUAGUGACAAUGAUAUUUACAUUUGUUUGCCAUGCUACUAACUCCUAGACGUUGUUUCGUUUGAAUUGAGCCAAUUCUUCUUGCAUUACUAAUACUCAUGAUUCAUCAUUUAGAGCUUCAGUCGCAUUCUUUGGUUCAAUGUGAGACAUGUGGCACAUGUUUUUGAGUUCGAUGGCAAGUAUCCUUCUGGUUACCAUUUCAUUGCCACGAUAAGAAAGUACGUUAUUGAGAGGAUGUGCUUUCUGAAUCCAGGUAGAUGGUUGUCUCCUUCCUUGUUAUUCACUAUCUUCUUCGAGUGAAUCCCAACCUACAGUAUCCAUUUCGGAUUUGCUAGACCGGUUAUAGGAAGUUUUCCAUCUGGCUUUUUUCUUCAAGAUUUAUUGUACUAUUUUCCUAAUUAUUCUGAGUAAUUUCAGUUUAUUCAUCCAAGUUUCUAAUCUUAGGUUCAUGUGAGUAAGAGGAGUAAUCAUUAGCAAUAUCAAUUUAAUAUUAAUAGAUUAAGUAAUAGUUUGAGUACUCAUGUUAUAUGCUUUAUAGGCCCGACUAUUUUCUAAAUACCCAAUGAAUACUCUUUCAUCACUCUUAGGGUCAGAUUUUCCUAUGUGAUACCUAUUAUUCAAUAUAACACUUCAAAGUAGUGAAAAUAGUGAAUAUUAAGUUUCCUACCCUUCUAGAUUUCAUAGGGCUUUUGUUUAGUGCUUGUUCCCAAGGAAACAUUGUUCAGCAUGUAGCAAGCAUUAUUAAUUGCCUCAGCCCACUAUUUAGCAUUACUCUAGCCAUUUCCUGUAAAGAUCUAUUUUUCCUCUCAACUACACUAUUUUUUUCCUGAAUUUUAGGAGCAAAAAAUUCAUGAAAAAUACGAUGCUUUUCACAAAAGUUAGAAAAACUAGCAUUCUCAAACUCCUUACCAUGUCACUCCUAGUCCUUACAAUUUUAAUGUCUCUUAGUGUUUUUCAAUAGUCAAAUUUUUAUAUAAGUGAGCAAAUCUUUCAUAUGCAUUAUAUUUCUCCCUUAGAAAUUCUACUCAAGUAAAUCUCCAGAAAUUAUCGACCAUAACAAAGAUAUACCUUUUACUACCGACACUUUCUAUUUGAAUUGGCUCUAUUAAAUCCAUAUGAAGUAAUAGUAAGAGAUAGCAAGAAACUAACCUUGUAGGUCAGGUGUUAUAGGCUUCUAACCUUUUUGACAUGAACCACACAAACCUUCAGGUCUUCCUAUAAGCUUAGGGAUUCCUCUUACAUCAUCAAGUUUAGUGAGUUUAACUAGAUCUGUAUAGUUCAAAUGUCCCAGUCGUUUGUGCCAUAGGUCUGUAUUGUCAACAUUGGAUGCGUAAUAUGCAAUAUUAGAUUCUAGCAAAUAAAAUUUAUCACUAGACUCGCUACCAUGUAGAACAUAACUACCUUCAUUUUUCAUUGCCUUACACAUGCUUUUUGUAUACAUAACCAUGAGUUCAUCAUCAUACAACUAACCUACACUAAUUAGAUUAGCUUUUAAAUCAAUAACAAGAGGCACAUUUUCCAACACAGGAGAUCCUUUUAUCUUAAUUGUACCAAUCCUGUCAAUUUUACUUUGAGCACCAUCCCCGAAAGUAACCAUUCUUCUUGCAAAACUUUUGAAAAUUGUUAACAUAGACCGAUUACUAAUCAUGUUUCUCGAACAGCCACUGUUAAAAGUACCAGGAAUUAGAUAUAAUAGAAUUAUAAGCAACAUUUACAACAUAACAGCUAACACUUUUAUAUAUCCAAACUUGCCUUAUUCUAGAAGGUGUCAGUUAGCAAGUUAACUUUCUUAAUGUGAUUUAAUUUUCUAUGUGUUAAACAGUGAUGUGCAUUGUGUCCAUAUUGAUCACAAACAUUACAUCUGAUCUUGUACAACGACUUGCUUGUCUGAAAUUUUAUCUGUUUACCUGAUCUUGUGAUCUAAACCAAGUUUUUUGAGGAGUCUGAACCCGCUAUCGAGUGUUUGUCAAUGGUAAUGUCCUACUGGUGGCAAGUUUGUCUGUCAUUUUGGCAACAGUUUCAAACGGCUGACUUAGCAAUUUUUUCAAAUACCAUUGUCUCUUUAAUAUACAUCACUUUAGUCAUUUCUUUCUCCUUUCUUUUUCCUUUAUAUGCCAGACCUACUUUAUCAUUUGAUGUUCUACCAUAGCUAAUUACUUCUUUAAGGUGCGCAGAUCCAAUUGUCAGCUAUUUAACUCUUUUCCUUGGCAUGAUUUAAUUCAACUUGAAGUUCCAGCAGUUGUUUUUCCUUCUCAUUUAUCAUUUUGAACAAGGCUCUUUCUUUUUCAAUUAUGCCAUCACUGCCAAAAAGGUGACAGAUACAACAUAUUAUCAUCAAACAAAAGGUUGGCAAUUGGAGAUAUUACCUGGUUGUCGUCAGUUUUAUCAUCCUCAUUUGAGUUUGACUCUUUAUCUUUAUAUUCGCUCCAGGUUAUGUUCAUAGCUUUCUUACCUCGGAACCUCUUUAAGGUGCUUGUACACUCAGCCAUUAUGUUCCUCGACCCUUUGCAUUCAUGAAAUUGAACACGAUUUUGUCUCUUUUC